CGAGAGCAAGACUCCCUUC
rnacentral:piRNA from 1 species